CAAUGAAAGAUCCAUUCCCAUCAAUCUAUUCCGCCAACCUAUUCUUCCCAUAGGAACCUCGAAGGAAAAAGAAUAAUAUACAUAUCAACCCUGCCCAUAUUCUAAAUAUUUUCUACAUUUUUGACCCAAAGCCAAAAGAGAGUGGCUGGAAAUGGGCUACCCAAAUCAUGGGCCAGUGUUGAUCAUCCAUAUUGAAAGAGACCUCCUUAAACAUACUAUUUUAUUGGGCCCAAGACAACGACCCAAUUAGUUAACAAAUGCUUCAUCGCCUACCAUGAUACCUACCAUAUCACAUUGCUUGCCAUGGUCGACUGGAAUCCGGCAGCCUCACUGUAUGAUACUCCGGCCGGUGACCCAAUACAUGUCCAGACGAUAUCACGGUGGUCCGACAAAGCGGGCAAUUGGAGUGGGAACAGAGCCACAUAUCGAUACAAGGCACAUGAAAUGAGUGCAAACACUUGGUGGAAAGAAGGAAUGAGGUUUGUGAUUGAAUCAUCUGAGCUGUUGACACUCCCGGGACUCACCAUCCAUCUCUGACUUGUACUACUGCUACUCUCCCUUGGGCUGCACCAAUGUGCCACAAUACAGUGGUACGUUAAUAGCACGGCGAUGGCUAGAACGAUGCCGAUGACCGCCACAGGGAGCGGAGAGAGGCCGAAGAUGUGGGUGGUGGUGCCAUCCAUUAAUCUUGCGGUGAUGGGUAUAGACUACAGUUUGAUAUGGGAAUUUGAGGACAUGGAACAUAUAAAAUGUGUGUGACUAUUAAAAAUGAAGAAUGGUAUUGAAGUA